AUGGAAGAGGAAAAGUGUUUCAGGUCUUCAUCCUCUAAGGUUUCGAGAUCUAGAUCUGUUGGGUGUGGUAACAGGAGCUUCUCUGCUGAUUUCUUCGAGAGGAUCUCUUUUGGUCUCGGCGACUGCACUCUCAGGAGAGUCGAGUCUCAUCGCGAAGGAAAACAUAAGGUUGUAGCUUCUGCUUCUUCAGCUUCUUCUUCGUCUUCUUCUUCUUCUUCUGGUGCUGGUGGUGGUGGUGUUGUGAACCAUUGCAUGAAGGAAAGAGUGAGGUGUGGUGGAAUCUUCGGUGGCUUCGCCGUUACUUCCUUGUCUUCUUAUGCGUAUUCUUCUUCUUGGGUUUCUUCCACCGUGGAUGAUGGCAGAGGAAGGAGUUGGGGAUGGGCAUUUUCGCUAGCCCCAUUAGAGCUUUCACCACCAAAGGAUCUUCUUCUUCUUCUAAGAGAGAUGCUUCUGAUAAGAACGCCACGCCAAACUUAUCUGUCAUUCCUUCUUUGCUCACUGUUAGAGGCUGAACUCAGAUUAUGCAGAAAAAAAGUGGUGUUUUGCAGGCAUAUUAUUUUUUGUUUAUGCUAUAUACAUUAGCAUUCUUGUUCAUCUUCGUUAAUAUAAUAUUGUAACACUUUCAAGUUGUAAUUUUCCCGCACAUUCUUUCUUUUUCUUUGUUUAUGACACUGGAUUGUUGUUCAU